UCUUAACGACAGAGAAAACGCAAAUAGACCAAAGGCAACCCCACGUGACCUCACUACCAACAUAACGGUUUAAAACUUCUACUGAUCAUUUUUUAGGUUAUGUUUAGCGGAAUUGUAAGGAUAUUAGCUUAUAUUUUAUCAACAAACUGAACAGUCAACAUGUUUAAGAUGUAACAAAGUACAGUAGAUACAAAAUUAUUCAUUACUUGGUAGGUUUAUUCUUAUAAAUAAGACCUUCUUUAGCAGAAGGCUAAUCAAACACAAAGACAUAACAUUGAUGAAUUCGUUUAAAACAGAAAGUUGAAACGGUUAAUAGUAUGAUUAGGCUAUUCAUCACUGUACCAGGUUUUGCAUUAUAUAGCAUGCUUUAGGUUGCAUAUAAAGCUUCACGUUAUAACACCUGACUCCUGCCUCACUCAGGAUUGAACGACACCUCAAAACCAAAUCCAAAAAAUAGGUUUUAAAAACGGAUUUUUUAAAAGAAUCAUUGAAAUACGCAUGAUACAGGUAGCCUACUGUAUUGUCAUAUAAACUCUUAGCAGGUCUAGAAACAGUUAUUUUUUCUUUUUUCAGAGAAUAACAGGCUGAUUGAGCUAUGGUUGAAACUUGCUCUUGGGUUUAUCUUGCUAGUUUAUGGCUGGUGAUCACAGUAUCAAGUAUCUGGUCACAGUCAACUUCAAAUCAGGUAAAAAGAUUCAAGAAGUCCAAUCGCCUUAUGAUGAUUAGUUUGAUCAUGAGGUUCUCUACCUGGGGAUGAACAACUUGCCCGUGAGAGAGAGAGGCCAGUAACCAUUGCAGAGCGGAUGAUCAAGCUGGUUAAGAAAAUCCACCACAAGCCCAAUAGUGCUCUAAUUAACAUGUGCAUCAUUCUGCCAAGGAGUGAGAACAGUUUCAAAAUUGCCGGAAGUGAUGAAGAAAGAAUAGACUUCUGGAAUGGCAAAGCAACCUCGACGAAAGUCAUGUAUCGACAAUAUUGUGUAAAAGGCACCAAAAUAUAUCACAAAGGCCGCAA